rnacentral:rRNA from 1 species
ACGCGUGGAACCUUACCAGGUCUUGACAUCCUCUGACACUCCUAGAGAUAGGACGUUCCCCUUCGGGGGACAGAGUGACAGGUGGUGCAUGGUUGUCGUCAGCUCGUGUCGUGAGAUGUUGGGUUAAGUCCCGCAACGAGCGCAACCCUUGAUCUUAGUUGCCAGCAUUUAGUUGGGCACUCUAAGGUGACUGCCGGUGACAAACCGGAGGAAGGUGGGGAUGACGUCAAAUCAUCAUGCCCCUUAUGACCUGGGCUACACACGUGCUACAAUGGAUGGUACAAAGGGCAGCAAAGCCGCGAGGCCGAGCAAAUCCCAUAAAACCAUUCUCAGUUCGGAUUGUAGGCUGCAACUCGCCUACAUGAAGCUGGAAUCGCUAGUAAUCGCGGAUCAGCAUGCCGCGGUGAAUACGUUCCCGGGCCUUGCACUCACCGCCCGU